UUUCCGUAGGUGAACCUGCGGAAGGAUCAUUAGUGAAUGGAAUCUGUGAGAGGACCUCUUCGCAAGCCCUAGCAUCAAAUCAUAUCCGUAACACCUCUGGACAGUAAGUUUGCCAAGAAAACGAAAGUGAAUAGAGCGCCAGCCUAUUUUAUACAAACAUUAAACUAACAAACGUAGUCAUAUUAUAAUAUAACAAAACUUUCAACAACGGAUCUCUUGGCUCUC
rnacentral:misc_RNA from 1 species